UGAGCGGAGAUAUAUGGAGCUUGCUUUAUAUAACUUAGCAGCGAACGGGUGAGUAACACGUAGAUAAUCUAUCCUAUACUGGGGGAUAGCCCGAUGAAAGUUGGAUUAAUACCGCAUAUAGCUAUAUAGUUGCAUGAUUAUGUAGUGAAAGAUUUAUUGGUAUAGGAGGAGUCUGCGGCACAUUAGCUAGUAGGUGAGGUAAAGGCUUACCUAGGCGACGAUGUGUAGCCGGUCUGAGAGGAUGAACGGCCACAAUGGAACUGAGACACGGUCCAUACUCCUACGGGAGGCAGCAGUGGGGAAUAUUGCACAAUGGGGGAAACCCUGAUGCAGCAACGCCGCGUGAGUGAAGAAGGUUUUCGGAUUGUAAAGCUCUGUUAGCAGGGAAGAGGAAGGACGGUACCUGCAGAGGAAGCCACGGCUAACUACGUGCCAGCAGCCGCGGUAAUACGUAGGUGGCAAGCGUUGUUCGGAAUAACUGGGCGUAAAGGAUGCGUAGGCGGUUAAACAAGUUAUAUGUUAAAUAUAUAGGCUUAACCUGUAGAAAGCAUAUAAAACUGUUUAACUAGAGUGCAGGAGAGGUAAGUGGAAUUCCUAGUGUAGCGGUGAAAUGCGUAGAGAUUAGGAAGAACACCAGUGGCGAAGGCGACUUACUGGACUGUAACUGACGCUGAGGCAUGAGAGCAUGGGGAGCAAACAGGAUUAGAUACCCUGGUAGUCCAUGCUGUAAACGAUGGGUACUAGGUGUGGGUUGUGAAUAACAAUUCGUGCCGUCGCAAACGCAAUAAG
rnacentral:rRNA from 1 species